rnacentral:rRNA from 1 species
UACGGGGGGAGCAAGCGUUGUUCGGAUUUACUGGGCGUAAAGGGCGCGUAGGCGGCCACCGCAAGUCGACUGUGAAAUCUCCGGGCUUAACCCGGAAAGGUCAGCCGAUACUGCGGGGCUAGAGUGCAGAAGGGGCAACUGGAAUUCCCGGUGUAGCGGUGAAAUGCGUAGAUAUCGAGAGGAACACCUGCGGCGAAGGCGGGUUGCUGGGCUGACACUGACGCUGAUGUGCGAAAGCUAGGGGAGCGAACGGG